GCACGCCGCGUGAGUGAUGAAGGCUUUCGGGUCGUAAAACUCUGUUGUUAGGGAAGAACAAGUGCUAGUUGAAUAAGCUGGCACCUUGACGGUACCUAACCAGAAAGCCACGGCUAACUACGUGCCAGCAGCCGCGGUAAUACGUAGGUGGCAAGCGUUAUCCGGAAUUAUUGGGCGUAAAGCGCGCGCAGGUGGUUUCUUAAGUCUGAUGUGAAAGCCCACGGCUCAACCGUGGAGGGUCAUUGGAAACUGGGAGACUUGAGUGCAGAAGAGGAAAGUGGAAUUCCAUGUGUAGCGGUGAAAUGCGUAGAGAUAUGGAGGAACACCAGUGGCGAAGGCGACUUUCUGGUCUGUAACUGACACUGAGGCGCGAAAGCGUGGGGAGCAAACAGGAUUAGA
rnacentral:rRNA from 1 species